UAUUGGACAAUGGGCGAAAGCCUGAUCCAGCAAUGCCGCGUGUGUGAAGAAGGCCUGCGGGUUGUAAAGCACUUUAAGCAGGGAAGAAAGGCGGGAGGUUAAUACCCUUUUGCACUGACGUUACCUGCAGAAUAAGCACCGGCUAACUCCGUGCCAGCAGCCGCGGUAAUAUGGAGGGUGCGAGCGUUAAUCGGAAUUACUGGGCGUAAAGCGCGCGUAGGCGGUUUGUUAAGUCGGCUGUGAAAGCCCCGGGCUUAACCUGGGAAUGGCAGUUGAUACUGGCGAGCUUGAGUGUGGUAGAGGGGUGUGGAAUUUCCGGUGUAGCAGUGAAAUGCGUAGAGAUCGGAAGGAACACCAGUGGCGAAGGCGGCACCCUGGACCAACACUGACGCUGAGGUGCGAAAGCGUGGGGAGCAAACAGG
rnacentral:rRNA from 1 species